AUUCAGUUGGGCACUCUAAGGAGACUGCCGGUGUUAAACCGGAGGAAGGUGGGGAUGACGUCAAGUCCUCAUGGCCCUUAUAUCCAGGGCUACACACGUGCUACAAUGGCCGGUACAAAGGGUCGCAAUACCGCAAGGUGGAGCUAAUCCCAAAAAGCCGGUCUCAGUUCGGAUUGGAGUCUGCAACUCGACUCCAUGAAGUCGGAAUCGCUAGUAAUCGCGUAUCAGCGUGACGCGGUGAAUACGUUCCCGGGCCUU
rnacentral:rRNA from 1 species